rnacentral:lncRNA from 1 species
GUGAGAGACAGCAUUAUGUAAUUUAUCAUUGUAUACUCAUACCAAAUGUGAAUCACUGAUGAGCCAGAUUUCCAGGACUGUGGCACUCCAUUGUCACUGGAGGGAAGGGCCACCGGUGGACCUGUCUGCAUGGUGGGCGGAGGCUCUGCGUGGCACUUGACUGCACAUGAACACUCCGCACAGGACUUGUUGGGGCUGCUGUGGGAAACCUGUCAGCCCUUUCGGGGACAGCCUGAGUCCAGUGCCCGCCUGAGGUGGCGGUGGGAAGGCCUGGCCAAUGCAUAUGGUAGGUCAACCUCUGUGCCACUUUUGCUCCCUGCUUCUCAUAGAUGGGCUGAGGUGAUCUGGGUAACAUCCCAGCUCUAUUUCUCCCUCUGCCCAAUCCUGCUUCUUCCUUCAGUCUAUAAAUGUUGA